GUGAGGAAUAUUGGACAAUGGGCGCAAGCCUGAUCCAGCCAUGCCGCGUGCAGGAAGACGCAUCUAUGGUGUGUAAACUGCUUUUGUACGGGAAGAAACACUCCCUCGUGAGGGAGCUUGACGGUACCGUAAGAAUAAGGAUCGGCUAACUCCGUGCCAGCAGCCGCGGUAAUACGGAGGAUCCAAGCGUUAUCCGGAAUCAUUGGGUUUAAAGGGUCCGUAGGCGGUUUAAUAAGUAAGUGGUGAAAGCCCAUCGCUCAACGAUGGAACGGCCAUUGAUACUGUUAGACUUGAAUUACAAGGAAGUAACUAGAAUAUGUAGUGUAGCGGUGAAAUGCUUAGAUAUUACAUGGAAUACCAAUUGCGAAGGCAGGUUACUACUUGUGGAUUGACGCUGAUGGACGAAAGCGUGGGGAGCGAACAGGAUUAGAUACCCCGGUAGUCC
rnacentral:rRNA from 1 species